UACGGAGGGUGCGAGCGUUGUCCGGAUUUACUGGGCGUAAAGCGUGCGCAGGCGGUUUUGUAAGUCUGACGUGAAAGCCCCGGGCUCAACCUGGGAAUUGCGUUGGAGACUGCAAGGCUUGAAUCUGGCAGAGGGGGGUAGAAUUCCACGUGUAGCAGUGAAAUGCGUAGAGAUGUGGAGGAACACCGAUGGCGAAGGCAGCCCCCUGGGUCAAGAUUGACGCUCAUGCACGAAAGCGUGGGGAGCAAACAGG
rnacentral:rRNA from 1 species